rnacentral:rRNA from 1 species
UGGCUCAGCUUGACGCUGGCGGCAUGGCUAAGCAUGCAGUCGAACGAGAACUGGCUUCGGCCAGGUGACAGUGGCGAACGGGCGAGUAACACCUUCCUAACGUACCCUGCAAUCAGGUAUAGCUCGGGGAAACCCGUGGUAAUACCUGAUGAUCCCACAGGAUCGCAUGACCCUGUGGGCAAAGGUCCGCCGUUGCAGGAUCGGGGAAGGCGCUAUCAGGUUGUUGGUAAGGUAACGGCUUACCAAGCCUAAGACGGCUAGCGGGCGUGAGAGCGCGACCCGCCGCAUCGGGACUGAGACACUGCCCGGACUCCUACGGGAGGCUGCAGCAACGAAUCUUCCGCAAUGCGCGAAAGCGUGACGGAGCAAUGCCGCGUGUAGGAUGAAGCCCCUCGGGGUGUAAACUACUGUCAGGGCUUAGGAAAUUUGACUAAACCCAAAGGAAGGGCCGGCUAACUUCGUGCCAGCAGCCGCGGUAAUACGAAGGGCCCGAGCGUUAAGCGGAUUCACUGGGCUUAAAGCGUGCGUAGGCUGGCCAGUAAGUGUCUUGUGAAAUCCCACUGCUCAACGGUGGAAUUGCAGGGCAAACUGCUGGUCUUGAGGCCGGAAGGGGUCGUCGGAACUCUAGGUGUAGCGGUGAAAUGCGUAGAUAUCUAGAGGAACGCCAAAGACGAAGGUAGACGACUGGGCCGGUUCUGACGCUGAGGCACGAAAGCGUGGGGAGCAAACAGGAUUAGAUACCCUGGUAGUCCACGCCGUAAACGAUGUACACUAGGUCCGGGAGGUUCUGACACCCUCCGGGUCGAAGGAAAACCAUUAAGUUGUACCGCCUGGGGAGUACGGUCGCAAGGCUAAAACUCCAAGAAUUGACGGGGGCUCACACAA